rnacentral:rRNA from 1 species
ACGCUCGACACCUACGGGGGCGAGCAGUGGGGAAUAUUGCACAAUGGGGGAAACCCGUACGAUGCAGCGACGCCGCGUGGAGGAAGAAAGGUCUUCGGAUUGUAAACUCCUGUUGUUGGGGAAAAGAGGAUGGUACCCAACAAGGAAGUGACGGCUAACUACGUGCAAGCAGCCGCGGUAAUCUGAGCGGGCUGGCAAGGC